UUGCCUCCAGAGACAACAGUCCAUCUACGACCUCAAGUAUGCCCACUACAAGACUGUCUCCCACCUGGAAAGUCUUUGGCCACUUUUACAACCCAUGAAGAUGCCAGCAGUUACCAACGUGACUGCCCAGUAGAUAAGGCACCAAAGGGAGUCAGCAGAUCCCGCACCUGCUUGCUUCCUCUCCCACAUUAAAAGAGCCCGCUUUCUGCUCCAAAGCCAAAGUACUGCCCUUAAGGCAGGAAGCCUGUACUUCUUCCCCUAAGUUAGCUUUGGAAUAAAAAGUCUCUUUCUUUAUACCAGACCUUACUCUCAUUAACUGGACUCUGCAAGCAGCAAGCAACUGAACCUGCAUUUCAGUUACAAUUUUGGUGACCCAUAUGGGGAAGUGCUGCCCGCCCUAGGUGAGUCUGAGCUGGAUAGCCUAGUUAUGCUCCUGGGUGAGGCAUGGGGUCACCUGUGAGUGCCAGCCGCUCAUAGCUAGCGACAGGAACAUCAUGGAACUUCCCGGCAGCUGCCAAAAAUGCUUUUGUUUUUGGAAGAGUCUUCCUUUCACCUCCCAGCAUGACAUCUGCCACCUUCAGUGUUUCACUGGUACAAAGCAAGUGACCUCUGAAGAAGACAGCAAACUUUGGAACUGGCCAGGUGCCAGGUAGCAUUCCUGAAUACCCGCCUCCUGGUCCCCAACAGAGGCACAUCUUCGCUCAUCUCAGCCCCGGGCUUGGGGGGCAGUGGUAUUCUGGAUGGCCAUCUCCCUGCCCCUCCCCGCACCACCUGACCUCAGUUCAUCUGGAUAAACCUGCUGUGCUUCCUGUCCAGGAAGUGAGAAGUGAGGCGCUCGCGAAAGGCUGAGCCAACGUCUACUAACUAUGGUGGCUGGAAGGCUCAUGAGUUUCCUUUCGGUCACUUUACCUUUUUUUCUUCCUCCCCUUUCUUUCUCGUGUCCCACUUGUGAAUCCCGGCUCCUAUGCAGAGGCCUGCCAGGUUGGCUUUCUCUGUCUUCUUUUCUGCCUGCUUUACAUCUGCUGUUACUAAGCUGCUGGUGCUGAGAUAAGACUCAUUGUUUGCGGACUAGCUAGAAUGUGAAUGCUAGAAACGAAUUUGAAACUGAAGGAAAAACGGGCAAAAGAGGUGUUUUUAAAGACCAAACCGCCACAGAGACUGCUUUACCCAAAAUUUUUUUUAAUUAAUUUUUUUUUUUGAGACAGAGUCUCGCUGUGUCACCAGGCUGGAGGGCAGUGGUGCGAUCUCAGCUCACUGCAAUCUCCACCUCCCAGGUUCAAGCGAUUCUUCUGCCUCAGCCUCCUGAGUAGCUGGGACUACAGGCUCAUGCCACCACACCCGGCUGGUUUUUGUAUUUUUAGUAGAGACAGGGUUUCACCAUAUUGGCCAGGCUGGUCUCGAACUCCUGACCUUGUGAUCCACCCACCUCGGCCUCCCAAAUGGCCUGGAUUACAGGCGUGAGCCACCACGCCUGGCCUACCCAAAUUUUAGUUCAUAGCUUUCAUUGGAUUAUAUACCAGGAUGAACAAAGUUUAUUUAGCCAUGUAAACAUCCCAAUUUCAUGAAAGAAUAGUGUGGAUUCAGCUAUCUUUUAUAAAGUGGUGAGUCUGUAUUUUUUUUUUUAACAAAUGAGACUAAUUUGUUAUUACUAGUUCAAUGAAAACAGCUAAAUCUUCUGAGUUAUCAACAGAAUGCCUAUGUGUUUGACUUUAAGAUUCUUAAACACCCAAUGCUCACAGCCUUUAAAAAUGGUUAACAGGGAAAUAAUUUUAAAUAAUGACCACCUUUGUGUAAUAUCUCAGUUUUCAGAAGUAAUCUAAAUAAACGAUUAAAAAUGGGAAAAUUGGGUACAUACAAAUGAGAUACAUUCUUGUAAGUAAACUUUUGUAUAAUUUAAAAUCUUAAAAUCAUGUUGGACGCUUAUCGUAUGUCUAUGUCAUUUCCAAUUAAGAAAGGGUAAUCGUAUGGAAAAUGUUCCAAAAGUUGUUGAAUGGUUCUCAUCUAUAAAAUGCUAAUAUCUGAUAGGCAGUUCAGGAUUUCUUGCUUCCCAAGUUUAUAUAAAAUGUGCCAAAGAAGAUGUGUUCUUAGCCGGGCGCGGUGGCUCACGCCUGUAAUCCCAGCACUUUGGGAGGCCAAGGCGGGUGGAUCAUGAGGUCAAGAGAUCGAGACCAUCCUGGCCAACAUGAUGAAACCCCGUCUCUACUAAAAAUACAAAAAUUAGCUGGGUUUGAUGGGGCGCACCUGUAGUCCCAGCUACUUGGGAGGCUGAGGCAGGAAAAUCACUUGAACUUAGGAGGUGGAGAUUGCAGUGAGCCCAGAUCAUGCCACUGCACUCCAGCCUGGGCACAGAGUGAGACUCCGUCUCAAA
rnacentral:lncRNA from 10 species